GGUCAUUAGAUGGAAGUAAAAGUCGUAANCAGGNUCUCCAGUAGGCUGAUCCCUGCGGAAGGGAUCAUUA
rnacentral:rRNA from 1 species